AACCAUAGAAACCUGCGGAGUACCUGCGGAAGGAUCAUUACAGAGUUGCAAAACUCCCUAAACCAUUGUGAACGUUACCUAAACCGUUGCUUCGGCGGGCGGCCCGGGUCCUUCCCGGCGCCCAUCGGCCCUCGCGGGCGCCCGCCGGAGGUAAACCAAACUAUUGCAUUGUAUGGCCUCUCUGAGUCUUCUGUACUGAAUAAGUCAAAACUUUCAACAAUGGAUCUCAGAUCGGAAGAG
rnacentral:misc_RNA from 1 species